AUAAAUUAUAUCAGGAGACGGUCGAGCCACGCCCAACUACAUUGUGAGUGAGAUGGAUACUAUAGGUCCCCUCACCUUCAACGCUGUAGUGAGUGGGUCUCCUCCCCAGCACCAGCACGAGCACCAUGGGGCUGGGGCCAGUGGGUCCACCUGUGCCUGCAGCCUGUCAGAGGAAGGGGCUCCUAUCAUUGCUCCACUAGACACACUGGAACAGGUGUUCUCCUGGCAGCCGUGUAGUGAUGGUAUGUGUGUGCCCAGUAUAUCCCUGAGGCCACGGUGUGAUCACCAGGGAGGGUCUAAGAUGGAUGACCCCACAGCACAGAAGAUGAUAGUAUGCCAUGAUAUGAUGGGAGGCUAUAUCAAGGACAAGUACAUACAGGGACACAGUGAUCUGAAUGACUACUAUUUCUACCAGUGGCAGUACAUCGAUGCCUUCAUCUACUUCAGCCAUCACUUCAUUACGCUCCCCCCUCCAACUUGGACUAAUAUUGCCCACAAGAAUGGUGUCCUUGUCAUGGGAACCAUCAUCACAGAGUGGACACCUGGGGCACAGCUAUGUACACAGUUGUUCUCUGAAGACUGGAGAGUUGCCCAGUUCUGUGAUCAGCUGGUUGCCAUGGCAGCACACUACAAAAUAGACGGCUGGCUCGUCAAUAUUGAGAAUCCAAUUCAUCCUAAGCUGAUGGACAGAUUGCACAUGUUGCUGUCGCUACUGACAACUGGAAUGCACUCGGCCUGCCCAGGGUCAAAGGUUAUUUGGUACGACAGUGUCACAAUUGAGGGAAACUUGACAUGGCAAAACACACUCAACCACUUGAACCAAGUGUUCUUUGACUUGUGUGACGGUAUCUUCCUGAACUACAACUGGAGUGAGGAUGGAUUGUCCUCAUCAGGCAGUGUGGCUGGGGACAGGAGAGGGGACGUGUAUGUGGGGGUGGAUGUGUUUGGGAGGGGCUGCUUUGGAGGAGGAGGUUUCAACUCUUGUAAGGCUGUGGAGGUCAUCAGUCGUCAGGCUCUCUCCUCGGCUCUCUUUGCUCCAGGCUGGGUAUAUGAGACUCAAGCUAAGAGCCACUUCUUCCAGAACCAGGAGAGGUUUUGGUCCCUGCUGAGUGAGUGGGUGGGGAGUGGGCGUGUGUCGUGCCUCCCACUCGUCAGUGCAUUCGGACGAGGCUACGGGGAGAGUGUCAACAUUGAUGGCAAGAUGGUUCACUCUGAGUGUUGGACUCAUCACAGUGUGCAGGAUAUUCAACCAUCAGUGACCUCUCUCUCGUCUCUGGUGACCUCUGACCCCAUGAAUGGUGUGAGAAUAGAGAGAGUGUUGCUGGACAUGCAGACAGUGUAUAACAAUGGAUCCAGUCUCAGACUAGAGGGAACUGUCAGACACACACCAGGACUCAACAAACCUGCUCUGGCUAGAUUGUUCCAGACCCAUCUGAAGGUAGUGUCUCCCCUGCUAGUGGGGUUGACCUUCACCUGCGACCCCACCACCUCUCUCAAGCUCUACCUGCAACUACACACCAGCUCAUCCUCCAGAGUGUUCCUAGACCUGCUCAUGGAGCCACCACCAGGCAAAGAGGGGACAGUCCCUGUGCCCCUCCCCCCUUCCAGCCGAGUACCACACCUCCCUGGAUGUGUCCUAGCCCCACUGCCACGCCCCCAUGCCCAGCACCUACACAGACUCUUCACUGGAGAGCCACAACCACCCCACCCCUGGACCACCAAAUACUACAUUAUUGACCCUGCUGAUGUCCAGAGCUGUGUGAUCCAGGAGCUCUCUCUGGGCGUGUACUACGCUGGUAGACCACCCCCUAUUAGCCAUGCCCCUUCUGGUGCUAGCCACACCCCUCAACCCUUCUCACUUGUACUAGGGGAGAUUAAGGUCAGUGCUAGUAAUUAUACAGUGAAUGUACAGCCAAAUUGGCAAAUACUUUUAUCUCUCAAAUAUGAACUUUGAUGACGCCAUUUGAACGGUCCUUUUCAGAAAAUCAUAACUUUAGAUCCACGGAAUUCAAGUUAUGACAGCUGAAAGAGAUUAAUUAAACGGAGGGGGGAUGUUAGUUGAACCAUAGGGAGAGGGAUUGGAAACGGAAGUUACCUCGAAUUAUAUCCGCGUUACGCCGGGUUUAAUCGAGGCUGUGUAUCUAACGUUGGUACCUUGACUGUAUAUGUCUGCUAGAUUGUACUAAAACUUGCACUUCCAACUGACACUUGAGACCAUAUGGGACACAGUACACCGAUGAGUUGCACAGUCUUAGCUAUAUUAGAAGUAUUCUAGGUAAAGAUCUUAUAGCGUGUUUUGUACCUCUAGCUCUCUUCACAAAAGUUAAAAAUGUAUUUUUUCUUUUCUAACUGAUGCUCACCAUUAGGGGGCAUGAGAAUGACGUUUUAGGGGGGCUCUGAAUAUUUUGUUGUGAUCAUAAUUUGUUUCCCGCGUGUUGAGCAACCGUAACACGGAUUGACAUCAAAGGCUGUCUGGUGCCAUGCUGCAAAUUCGAUGUAAAAUGUCCCGUGACGCUACUUCCGUUUCCAAUCCCUCUCCCUAUUCAAUCUAUGGUUGAACAUUUUUCAACAGCCAUAACCCUAACCCAUCGACAGCCAUAACUUAAGUACAAUUUAUCUAAUCUCAAAAAUUUUAUCAUUUUCUGAAAGCUUAGAAAAAUACCUUUCAAUGAUGUGUUUCAAUCCAAAAUUUCGUCCGGGCCCUAAUUUGUCAUUUUUCGGCCUCGGACCAUAUAAUCCAUGGUACAGCUAAAUUGGCUAAGUAUUUUUAUCUCUCAGAUAUGAAUUUUGAUGAUACCAUUUGAAAGGUCUUUUUCUAAGCUUUCAGGAAAUUUUGACUUUGGAUCUACGGAAUUCAAGUUAUGACAGCUGAAAGAGGUGAUGCCUACACAGCUGCUCUCUGCUAGUUAUGAAGUGUUGAACAUUUGGAGUCAUAGUUACAAGCUCUCCUCUGACCUGACCACCGUGUCUC